UCAUUUUCCUGGAGAGUCUGCUGGAAGGGGGGGCCCAGCCCAGCCCAGAGGCCCGGCCACAGAGGUCGCUCAGCACCACGCAGUCCACACGGACAGCAGGCGGCUGUCUACACGGGACGGGAAGCAGCCGUGGACCAAACUCCAAAUGUCAGCAACUCUGCAGCGUUCCACCACACAGUCCAGGCAGCCGGGCAUAGUGUGAGCAGAGCCAGGCCGCCUCAUCGAGAUCCACCUGACACUGACCCAGGGCCACCCUGCUCGGCCCCUAGGAUGCCUCUGCCUCCCAACGCCACUCCCCACCCGCACCUGCCACCUGCCGGCUGGAAGUCAGCUGACACUUCAUGGUUGACCAGGAACAAAUCAACCAAUGAUCGACCAAGUGAGCAAGACCCAGACCCACAUCUCCACACCAAGCAGGGGGCACCCCGCCCGGAGUCCCAGAACCCAGGUCUCCCCUCCCUUAUGGCCUCACAGCACUGGCCUUAGCUCCUUUCCUGGACCUUCAAUUCCCCAAACACAACCACCAGGCCUGACACACCUGGCCGUCCCCCAACACGGAGGGGACGGACUUCUAUUAAAUUUCUUCUC